rnacentral:lncRNA from 1 species
GAUUAAUAUUCAACAGCAUAGUGAAUUGCUCAAAGGCAAAAAAAAAUUUUUUUAAGUUCAUUAGACCACAUUCAUUCUGUGUCAGAAACCUAUGCUGUGUCGACUAUUUAAUUUUAGAUUUAAAUAAGUUUGAAGAAGAAAUCUUUAAUUGAUUUGUAAAAUCUUGACAUUUGUUUUGUGUAAAAAAAAAACCAUGUAAUGUCAAAAAUUUGAUCACAAUCCAAAUUCAGAGCUGUAUCACGCUUGAAUGUUUUGUCCAUACUUGCCACAACUGUUCAGGGUUCAACCUCUGCGGUCGUAUAAAGCUGCGCCCUGCAGAGCACCUGGUUAAACAUUGUGACUUGGAUAGAGAGUUGUCUAAUUGGCACUUAUACCACAUCUUCUUAUUGUUACUUAUAGGAUUGGGUAGGUAGAUUUGUAUUUUUAGCCUGUAUACUAAGCAUGAUAACAGGAUCAUGAUGAUUUAACCAAAAACAAUGUUGAAUUAUGAUAAAAGGAUACUAUUUAAAUUAUUGUGUCAACAUGAUUCACCACAUAGUCAAUAGAAACAUGAGAAAGAUAUGAAAUAAAACAAUGGAUUUAUUUAUAUUAAUCUAAAUAAAUAUACUUCACGACAAUAUAAAGAUAGAAAAGGAUUAAAUUUACUUCAGUGCUUGUUUCCUCUGUUUCUAUUGUUCUGAAGACCCUAAGUGGUUAAAUAUGUCAACAUAAUCAUGACAAAGAAUAAUUUCCCUGCUUAAACCAGGACAUUGUCUUUAUAUAGUUUGGGUUUAUAUAAUAGAUUAAGAAAUUUUCGGGUUAAAAAGUCAAUAUUUAUAAUACUGUAAAUUCCCAC